rnacentral:rRNA from 1 species
UACGAAGGGGGCUAGCGUUGUUCGGAAUUACUGGGCGUAAAGGGCGCGUAGGCGGUACUUCAAGUCAGGCGUGAAAGCCCCGGGCUCAACCUGGGAACCGCGCUUGAGACUGGAGAACUAGAGUUCGGGAGAGGAUGGUGGAAUUCCCAGUGUAGAGGUGAAAUGCGUAGAUAUCGAGAGGAACACCAGUGGCGAAGGCGAGUCCCUGGACAACGCCUGACACUGAGGCACGAAAGCUAGGGGAGCAAACAGG